rnacentral:rRNA from 1 species
GAUGAACGCUGGCGGCGUGCUUAACACAUGCAAGUCGAACGGAAAGGCUCCUGCUUGCAGGGGUACUCGAGUGGCGAACGGGUGAGUAACACGUGGGUGAUCUGCCCUGCACUUCGGGAUAAGCCUGGGAAACUGGGUCUAAUACCGGAUAGGACCACAUUUUGGAUGGUGUGGUGGAAAGAUUUUCGGUGUGGGAUGAGCUCGCGGCCUAUCAGCUUGUUGGUGGGGUAAUGGCCUACCAAGGCGUCGACGGGUAGCCGGCCUGAGAGGGUGUACGGCCACAUUGGGACUGAGAGACGGACCAGUCUCCUACGGGAGGCAGCAGUGGGGAAUAUUGCACAAUGGGCGCAAGCCUGAUGCAGCGACGCCGCGUGCGUGAUGACGGCCUUCGGGUUGUAAACUCCUUUCGCUAGGGACGAAGCGCAAGUGACGGUACCUGGAGAAGAAGCACCGGCUAACUACGUG